GCGCAUGAGCAGUGCUGCUCCCAACCCGCCAGUCGCGGUCUCCGGCGCCAGCUACGCCGCUGCCGCUGUCACUAUGGCCCAUUACAAAGCCGCCGACUCGAAGCGUGAGCAGUUCCGGAGGUACUUGGAGAAGUCGGGGGUGCUGGACACGCUGACCAAGGCAUCACUUAGGAGCUGCUACUCCAGAAAAUCCAGAAAUAGAGCUGCUUCGCCUAGAACUGGCCGAAAUGAAAGAGAAGUAUGAAGCUAUUGUAGAAGAAAAUAAAAAACUGAAAGCAAAGCUUGCUCAGUAUGAACCACCUCAGGAGGAGAAGCGUGCUGAAUAGGAUUCUUCUCAGUUUGAAAGACAAUGAAAAAUGGUUUUGUAUGACUUGAAUAGUUUGUAUAGUAUAUAAUCUUUUCUGAACAGAUGCUAUAGAACUCUUUUAAUAUGUUUAAUUCACCUAUCACACUCUGUUAAAAACACAUAGAAUCAUCAAUAAAAACUCAAUAUAACUUUCUUUGGGUCUUAAAGCAGGAGAAUCCAAAGUAAAUCCUGAACAAAACCUAAACACAGCCAUCUAACUCAUUACCUUAAAAGACAUUCUGUUUAUUAGUCUGAUUAGGAAUGAUGGCACUGGUUGUAUUUUAGCCAAGACAGUUUAGCAUGGAGCUAUUCCUUGGUGCAGUUCAGGAUAUGAACACAGGUACAGUCAUUCUUUGAAGGUGACACUGUUCUGUAUAUUCCCUAUAGGCAGCUGGAGAGAUCUGUGUGACACAAGAUGCUUUUGUACGGGUUCCCAUGAAUCUUCUGCUCUUGUUUGUGUGACAUGGAACAAAUAACUUCUUUGCCACCACUUUGCCUUAGAUAACUGUGUGUGUGUGUGCCAGUUUGAACUCUGACACCACAUUUUCCUUCUAUGCAAUCAUGCCUGUCUGAUAAUCUUGCAUUGCUUUCCUCUGAGCUUUAGUGGGUCCUAGUUGCACACUGGCCUUUCUGUGCUGUUUUUCAAUUUGCCUAAUAAUAGCAGUUACCCUGAUUGUAAUUUAUGUAACUUUAAACAGGAUCACACUGUACCCCCUGCCUGCCUUAUUUGCUUACUGAGCACAGGACAGAGGCAAUAUACAACUCUGGGUUCACACACAAGCUGAGAUGAGAAGAGGAAUGAGCCAUAUAUUGGGGAAAAUCAUAGUUUGUAGGUAUAAUUAUAUAGUGCUUUUCUCCCUCAAAGUAUUUUUCUAGCCUUGAAUUCAUUUUAUCUUCAUUAUCCCUGUGAAGUAGGUGGGACAAGUAUAAGGGGAAGAGGGGUGCUGAAUUUUUAGGCCAAAGACUGAUAUUAAUACAAAUCACUCACUAACUGUAGAGCCUUGGGCAUUAUCAGUGAACUACUCUGAGAUUUACUGUCUUCAUCUGUUUAAUGAGUAGAAUGUCCGUGAUGCCUACCUCACAGGGUUGUUGUGAGGGUCAAAUGAGAAUGUAUGUGAAAGAUUUGUAAAUGGUAAAGCACUAUAUUCUUGUUUGUUAGUCCUUUUUCCUUUCUUUGGGUAGACCUACAGUCAGAUGUUUUGUUUUAUGGAUCACUUAUUUUCCUUACUGGUAGACUGUCGUUUUAUAGACAUAUUCCUAUUUCAUAUAUUCUCUCCCUGUUGUUAGAGAACCUAUCUUUGUUUUUGGUCAAAACACACAUAGAAAACAAAAUGAUCCAAUGAAAACUGGUUUAACUAGCAAAAGCCUUGGCACCUGUUGGAGACUAUGACCAAGCCAAUAAAAAGGGCAUUUAAAUCAGCCCUGUUAGUAGGAAUGUGGCUAUGGCUGGUGCCUCUUCUAGUCACAAGUUUGUUUUUGGAGGGGGUCCAGAAGAUCAUUCCCUUGCAUAGAUUUCUCUUUUACCAAUUUGAGUGCCUCCUACAUGGGCAGCAGUGGACUAAGUGCUGGGUGUGAUAAAGAGGAAUGACUUAAUUAUGAGACUGUAUAUAAUCAAAUACAGUGUGGGUUAGGACCUGUGGCAGACCAUUAUAAUAAAGCAUGGCCCCGUGAGGGUUUUGAAAGAGAGAGAGACUUGGCUUCCUUAGUUGGUAUGAUAGUUUCUUGGUAGAUACAGGUUGAAAAUUUUUUGUGGCAGCCAAUCCUCAUGGGCUUUUUACUCAUUUGAUUAGUAUUAAUAUUUAUGUCAGUAAGCCAGGUGACUGUGACUGUCUUUGGUACCAUCCUUUUUGAACAGAAAGGCAACAUGUGGGUUGGAUAAUCACACUUUUAGGUGAAACUGACUUGCUUAAACUGUAACAGUCAGUGCUAUUUAAGAAUUCAGGAUAAGCUUAGCCUCUAGAGGUCCUCUUCAACAUUUCUGUCAAGGAUUUGGAUGAAUACAACAAGAUGCUCCAUGGAAGAGAAAAUGGAUAAAUGGAUCCCACCAGUUAAGCUCCUAUUAUGCUUCAGCUGCUUUGUCUAUAAAAUAUCGACUUCACAUCUUGCCUAUCUCACAAGUUGGUUGUAAGAAUCAAAUUAAAUAUAAUGGAUGUAAAAGUG
rnacentral:lncRNA from 1 species